AUGCCACGCCGGUCUCCCGCCUCUCUUCGUCGUCUGCGCCCGCCAACUGUUUGUUCCUCCGCGCAGUUGCUCAUGUUCGCCCUGUAUCGGCAGAGCAACCGCGACGCCGAAUUCAAGUACCUCCAUGUUUACAAGCGCAUUGACAAGUGCGAGAAGUGGGCGGAAGUCCGGCGCACCCUCGACAAGGCCAAGGAGACAUACAAGCCGGACGCGCCGAUUCCGGGCGCGUCAGAGGGGCGGCCGGACGGCAACAAAGGGGCCAAGAAGGGGAAACACGCCGACGCGGCUACCGCGCGGGUGCAGGAGUCCAUCGAGCAUUGCCUCGCCGACGCACAUGCCUGGGCCGUCCUGCGUGAAGAGAAAACCGCGGCGCGGUGGUCGUCGUUGCUGACGAACAACGCCAUCAAGCUCGACCUGCUCCGGACCAACGUCGCCGCGAAGAAGAGGAACACCGACCUGGCUUUUCUGAUGGGCGGGGCGGACAUGCUCCAGAGCACCGACGAGAAGCUCAUGGCGUGGUACAUGGCGGAGCACGGCCUCAUCCUGAACCAGCUGCCGACGACGGUGACUCCAACUCACGCGCCCACGCCCACGCCGACGCCAAGCCCGGGUGAUGACGCCUCCACGACGCCCAGCAGCACCGAAGCCGCGCCGAAACCGCCCAACACCGAAGCAGCCCCGACACCGCCGAGCCCGCGCACGCCGACUCCACCGAUGCCUGAGGCCGACCCCGCCGAGUGA
rnacentral:rRNA from 1 species